GGGUAGGACGAUCAAUUGCGCUAACUUAUGUUUAUAAUGCGGUAUUAAUUACUAGGGGAGGCUAGGGAUAGCAAGCCAGUAGUUAAUAUUAGGCUUUUUUCGCCAAGGGAUCGAGUUAAGGGUAGGCUAAGAAAGUCGCAUAACAAUUAAUUAAUCAAACUAAUAUUCAAGAGGAGUAGAUAAGAGAGGGCGGAUUAGAUGAAUUUGUAAACCCCCAACAACAUCCAUUCAUCCAUUGUUUUCUUUUGUCAAUUGAAUCAACUUUAUUUUGCAUGUUAAUAUUUUUGCUCUCAAAUCCAAUUUAUUAAUUUUUAUUUUCAAGUCUUAUUAUUUUAAUUCACGUGAACGAGAAAGCCUUUCAAGUCUCUUGGGAAAACGAUACUUCGUCUUAGCAUUUAUAUUUCUUGUACGAUUUGGUACGCUUGCUAAUUUGUCAACAAGUUUUUGGCGCCGUUGCCGGGGACUCGAGGUUUAUUUUUCUAGUAGUGUGAAUUAAUUGAAUUUGGCUUGAUUUUAUGUUUAUUUUCAUUUUUGUUCUAAUAAAUGGUUUCUAGGGUUUUGUGCUUAAUGUUUGCAGAAUGCAGAAUGGACAAGGAUUUGAUUAUAUGGGCACUCAAUCCUACCAAAAUAAUUUCAAUCACUGGUGGGAACCUCACUCAUACAUGGAUCAAAGUCGAUAUGGACAAGUUGCUAAGCCUCAUUUUAUGCCUAUACAAAGAAGUGCAGAAUAUGAGGAAAUUUUUCAGAGGAUUAUGAAUUUUGAACCAUACCAUGUCAAAAGCAUGGAGGAAAGGCAACAUUAUUAGUGGCAGCAACAAUGUUCUUCACCAAUAGAAACAUGGGAGUAUGAUCAACAAAUUUGUCAACAGACGGCUGAUGUGACAGAACAAGUCAAAAGCUUGAAUGAAAAGUUUGACAAAUUUCUAGAGAGGUGUGAUUCCAAGAGAUAUGAAGUUACCUUCAGGAAUUUGGAGACAUAAAUUGAUGAGGUUGUUGAUGAGGAGAAGGUGGAGAGAGAAGUGGAAAACAUAGAAGAGGAAAAAAUAGAGGAAGAUGAAGUAGAAAGGUUGAGUGAGGAAGAGAAAGAUGAGAAGAAAGAAAAAGCAGUGUGAUGGGUGUCGCACCCCAUGCAAAAUUUUAUGAGCAUAAAAGAAUGCAGUAUAGUGCUAGGAAGUGACUCCUAGGUCGUCUCUCAAGGACCAACUGCGGUUCAGGAAUUAGGUCUAACACGAAGGGGGGGGUUGUGAAAGGUUUGUGAAUGCGAAUAAACUAAAUCAGAAGACGGGUGCAAACAGAAAUGUAAAACUGAAAUGCGGGCAGAAACAUAAAAACGGUCAUAGACAAAUAUCCAGACAUAAUUAAAGUUAUUAAAAUGCAAUACUUGAACUAAAAAUAAAAUGCACAUUGAAAUAAAGCUUGAAAAUUGCAAAACGAAAUCACCACCUAUUCACCCUUAACCGUAGCUUCCAAAAGAAAGGAAAAUCAAUUUCUUUUCUCCCAUGCAGCUGAAUUACAAUUAAAUACUCAAAGUAAAAUGCAUCUUGCUUGGCAACCCGUGUGCACCUUCAAGAGAACAUAAGUCAAUGCCUACUUCUAUCUUGCUGGACAUAGUAAUUGAAAACAACAUGUUCAUUAUCAAAGGAAAUUAUUAGUCAUCGAGUGCUUGCUAAAUAGUAAAGAAAUGAAAUGUCCGCUUCCUUUCCAGGCUAAAAUGAAAUGCGCAUUAUGAGUGCCCUUUCCGUGACACCUCAAACUUUCAAUAAAAGGAAGUAAAUGCAAGAAAUCACUGCUUAUACAUUCUCAAAGAAAUUGAACGGAAAUGCUCCAAGCAUUCAAUCACAGCGUGUCCUUUUCUAAACUAAAUCAAAGCAUUGAAUACAAUGAAAGUAGCAUGCACCAAAAACAUAAAAAAUUAAAAGUAGCGUCACAUCACUUUAAAGGAAAAAAAAAACAAUGCUUCUAAUGUUUAUCCUAAAGGACCCUAACAGCAUUUCAUUAAAAGAAAAGAAAAACAAUUGUGCUUCUAGCUUUCCAUGAUUUAUCUCGUGUCCACACCAUACAUGCUCCAAGAAAAGUCCAUUCUAGAUGGUAGUUGGAACCU
rnacentral:lncRNA from 1 species